AAACUUUAUCCAACGGGUAUGGUAUAUGCACGCCCCGAGCACUUGGACGACUACUUGUAGUCGGUGAAGGGAUCAAUGUCUUGGUCAGAGUACGCUUUGGACACUAUAUGGUGGUAAAUCUGAGUCGUAUCUGACCGUUGCUUGAUUAACAGGUGGAAUCCGAAAAUGUUGCUAAUAUAAUAGGGGGCCCAAUGCUAAUUAUUGGCACGCCUAUCAUAGCAGAUCUGCA
rnacentral:lncRNA from 1 species